rnacentral:snRNA from 1 species
CUGCUUCAGCAGCACAUAUAUGAAAAUUGGAAUGAUACAGAGAAGAUUAGCAUGGCCCCUGUGCAGAGUGGUAAUUUUUUUAAAUUAUUAUCUGUUUUU